rnacentral:antisense_RNA from 1 species
UACUGACAUCAGCGAUUCAUUCUGCGAACCGGCACCCACCGCCAGGUAGGCAUUCAUGCCCAGCUCUUUCAUCUGCUGCUCACCAAUCACCCGGGUGGUGAUGUUCUGGCUGUAGGCAUCGGCCAGCUGGCGGGCCUGAGAAGCCAGAUAAGCCGGAUUACAGAUAUUCGGUGGCAUAUUGCUGAGAUCUUUGGC